AGUAGGGGGCGCUAGAGAGCUGCUCCCACAGUCUGGCGUACACGUACUGUUGCAGCAGCGGUAUGGUCAUGAAUAACCCGAAGCCGUAGAACGCCACCACGGGUUGGAUCAGGUAGGAGCCGCCCAUAGCUUACCUUGAGAAGCGAUGUACGUUGUUAACGUGGCUCAAUAACGCAGCAUUACAGAGCGAAAUCUCGAAAAUCCGCGCUGGCAAAAUGUAGGUCUCCGGAGGCACUCUGCAACAGGUAAACGAAUGACCGCAUCGCAUCGCAGAGCCAGAGGGAUGGGCUUGAUUAAAGGCGCCAGAUGGAGAUGGAGAGAGAGCGAGCACAGCAAAAGUACAAAAGAUGAACAUGCUUCUUCAACUACAUCAUCGGUUCUCUAUAACUCACAUAGCAAAUGUAAUUAGCCUACACACAAGUUUACAAUCAGAAGUUCAACCCACAGUUAUUUCUCAGUAAACUCACCAGCCCACCCCCUUCUGCCCGACCAGACAACAUGGUGGAUUACAGAUCUUUUAAACGCCAGCCAAGCGAGUCAACGGCACAAUAUAAUAUACAAAUCAAAAUCAACAUUCCACCAUCUGUUCAUUAAACAUACCAGCCAUGCCAGGAGGGAACUCAACCAAACGCUACAUGUUGGAAGCAGACUCGGCUACAUAUAUGGAGUAUCAACGCAGUUACUGGAUUCUAAAGGACAUGAAACGCUGUCAUACAUUUUCUCGGACAUUGGUUUGAUGGUCAGGUGACAGAUGUCCACAGGACAAAUCAACGGUGGCGGUUCGUGGUUCAGACGGCAUCGAAGUCUGCGUGAUAGUUACACACUUGGUCUAUAUUGAGAUGUAUCUUUCGUUUUCUUUAUCGUGUUAUGAUUAUUAUUUUAUGUAUUAUCAUUUUUAUCAUGGAGCACAAGUGGUUCUCCAGAAGUGAUCUUCUUGGAGCAGGAACUAUAGGUUCUAUGGUAACCAUGUUUAUUGACUCAAUACAUCCACAACAAAGUGGGAUUCUGAACAUCGCAAAUCACAGUCUGCACCAUGUCGUAUUACUAUUAUUAUAUGUCAUCAAAUACAUUCUUGUAAGUGUCACUGCACAGAGCCCAGACACAAUUAAAACAUGUGUGUACUUGACAUUCUUUCGUCCGAUAGUAUUUCAAAUGAUGCCAGUAAAAAAUUAAAUAUAAUAAUUAGGACAUUGGCUUGAUCAACUCGCGACUUAAAGAGCAAGUGAUCCUCAUUCCUUAAUGUUUGUGUGUUUGCGUG